AACUGUUCAUACGUUGACGGUAUUUAACCUAGAAAGUCACGGCUAACUACGUGCCAGCAGCCGCGGUAAUACGUAGGUGGCAAGCGUUAUCCGGAUUUAUUGGGCGUAAAGAGAGUGCAGGCGGUUUUCUAAGUCUGAUGUGAAAGACCUUCGGCUUAACCGGAGAAGUGCAUCGGAAACUGGAUAACUUGAGUGCAGAAGAGGGUAGUGGAACUCCAUGUGUAGCGGUGGAAUGCGUAGAUAUAUGGAAGAACACCAGUGGCGAAGGCGGCUACCUGGUCUGCAACUGACGCUGAGACUCGAAAGCAUGGGUAGCGAACAGGAUUAGAUACCCUGGUAG
rnacentral:rRNA from 1 species